GGGGAAUAUUGGGCAAUGGACGAAAGUCUGACCCAGCAACGCCGCGUGAAGGAAGAAGGUUUUCGGAUCGUAAACUUCUAUCCUUGGUGAAAAUAAAAGAUGGUAGCCAAGAAGGAAGCCCCGGCUAACUACGUGCCAGCAGCCGCGGUAAUACGUAGGGGGCAAGCGUUGUCCGGAAUGAUUGGGCGUAAAGGGCGCGUAGGCGGCCUGGUAAGUCUGGAGUGAAAGUCCUGCUUUUAAGGUGGGAAUUGCUUUGGAUACUGUCGGGCUUGAGUGCAGGAGAGGUAAGUGGAAUUCCCGGUGUAGCGGUGAAAUGCGUAGAGAUCGGGAGGAACACCAGUGGCGAAGGCGACUUACUGGACUGUAACUGACGCUGAGGCGCGAAAGUGUGGGGAGCAAAC
rnacentral:rRNA from 1 species